GAUGAACGCUGGCGGCGUGCCUAACACAUGCAAGUCGAGCGAUUUACUUCGGUAAAGAGCGGCGGACGGGUGAGUAACGCGUGGGUAACCUGCCCUGUACACACGCAUAACAUACCGAACGGUAUGCUAAUACGAGAUAAUAUGCUUUUAUCGCAUGGUAGAAGUAACAAAGCUUUUGCGGUACAGGAUGGACCCGCGUCUGAUUAGCUAGUUGGUAAGGUAACGGCUUACCAAGGCGACGAUCAGUAGCCGACCUGAGAGGGUGAUCGGCCACAUUGGAACUGAGACACGGUCCAAACUCCUACGGGAGGCAGCAGUGGGGAAUAUUGCACAAUGGGCGAAAGCCUGAUGCAGCAACGCCGCGUGAGCGAUGAAGGCCUUCGGGUCGUAAAGCUCUGUCCUCAAAGAAGAUAAUGACGGUACUUGAGGAGGAAGCCCCGGCUAACUACGUGCCAGCCGCCGCAGUAA
rnacentral:rRNA from 1 species